rnacentral:lncRNA from 1 species
CAGGAAGCCAUCCGCCGGUCCACACGCGCUGCGGCGAGGCGCGCGCCCUGCCCGCCGCCGUUCCCCGGCGGCCGCCUCAGCUCCCGGGGCGAGCCUGAGGCGGUUACGGCCUUUACGCACGGGAGUGCGCUCCUGACGAGAGGAACGGGGAGCGUCGGGGGCAGCCUCGUUCAGCCACCGCAGGUCUGUGGCCCGGGCUGUCCCCCUUCCUGCCCGAAGGGCUGCAGCGGCGCCAAACUCGCUUUCCCAGCUUCCAGCGCAGCGAGGACCUCGCCCCCGAAGCGCGUCCGCAGGCGGCGGCUCUCGGGCUCCGCGCCGGUGGUCGCCUCCAACUCCCGGCAUGCCGCGGGGGCGGGGGGGCGGGGGGGCUGGCACGCAGACUCCAUUUCCCAGCCUGCCCCGGGGCUCGGGCAGGACGUGCCGGCGCCUAUAAGAGCCGGAGCGCUGCGGCCGGAGCCUAUUGUUAGCCGGAGCCGGGGCGGUUCUGGGCGUCUGCUACCGGGGGCGCCCGAGUCGCUGGAGCCGCCCGCCCUCCGCCGCCUGCCGGCCGACCUGCCCACCCGCCCUCCCUCCCAGCCCUGCCGCCCUGGGAACUCCCCGACCGUCGCCGCGGGCCCGGGACUCGCUCUGUCCUCUCUGCUUCCCACCCGGGCUGGGGCGGCGGCGGCGGCGGCCGCGGGGGCGGCAGAGACCAUCACGGGAGGAGGCAGCCGCGGCGGGGCCGGUAAUGGGCCUGGGGGUGCGGGGCGGAGGGUGCCGCCUCGUCCUUUCUCGGGAUCGGCCCGCGGGCGGCUGUGGAGGAGAGGUUCCCCCCGCCCCCCCAGAGCCGCGCGGAUGGAGGGGUCAGAAACGGGGGAGGCUCGCUCGGGAGCGGUCGGGGGGCGGGGAGCCGGGUCGCCGCGGGGAAGGAAGCAGUCGGGAGAGGCGUGGGAGCCCGGGGCGCGGAGGACGCGGGCCCCGGCUGCGGGGGCAGCUCGGGGCACGACCCGGGGGCGGCUCGGGAGCCGGCGGGGUUGCGGAUGA